UAAUCAUCAUCUCAUCUGUCAUUGUCUCUAGUUUCUCUCCUGAUCCACUCACUAUUACGCUUGUCAUCCGAGAAUAAAGUGUGCGGGAGAUAGAGACGUAAAGAAAAUAUCUGGUGGUCCGGGAGCAACAGGCAGACA
ensembl:ncRNA F40H3.9 ncRNA